rnacentral:lncRNA from 10 species
CACACAAACAUCACAUGCACAGACUUACAAGCACACACUGACAUUCGCACAUCAUAUGCACAGACUCAUGCACUCACACACUUGCAUAUCACAUGCACAUGCAAAGACUCACAUUCACUCACUUGUUCACAUAUCACAUGCACACUCAAACACACAUGCACACAAUUACACUCACCACAUGCACACUCAGACUCACAUGCACUCACAUUCGCUUACACACAAUCACACCCACUCAGAUUCACAUAUACUCACACAUUUGUUCACACAUGCCAUGCACACUCACAUGCACUCACACUUAUCACACACAGCUCACAUAUAUUCACACUCACCUCACACGCACCCUCACGCUCACUCUCACAAAUAUCACACACACGCACUCACACACUUGCUCAGAGACUCACAUGCACUCAAAAAUUUGCUUACACUCACAAAUGUCACACACUCAUGCACUCACACUCA